rnacentral:rRNA from 1 species
UACAGAGGGGGCAAGCGUUGUUCGGAAUUACUGGGCGUAAAGGGCGCGUAGGCGGCCUGCUAAGUCGAACGUGAAAUCCCCGGGCUUAACCCGGGAACUGCGUCCGAUACUGGUGGGCUUGAAUCCGGGAGAGGGAUGUGGAAUUCCAGGUGUAGCGGUGAAAUGCGUGGAUAUCUGGAGGAACACCGGUGGCGAAGGCGGCAUCCUGGACCGGUAUUGACGCUGAGGAGCGAAAGCGUGGGGAGCGAACAGG